UGCUUUUAUUUAUGUAUAAUGGAUUAUGGAAAGAGAGUAACUUCGCUCAUUACUUCUUUAAUGUAAUUGUUGCUUCUACAUUUCAGCAAGAUGAAUCUGAACUUAGUAAUAUAUUUGGAGGAAACAAUCAGCUGUUAACUCUUGGGCUGGGACUGUUGGCCACUGCAUUGGCUGCUACAUAUGUCACACGACUUGCAAAGGUAGCAAUGGAAUACUGCCUUU
rnacentral:sRNA from 1 species